CCUACGGGUGGCAGCAGUGAGGAAUAUUGGUCAAUGGACGAGAGUCUGAACCAGCCAAGUAGCGUGAAGGAUGACUGCCCUAUGGGUUGUAAACUUCUUUUAUAUGGGAAUAAAAUGUUCCACGUGUGGGAUUUUGUAUGUACCAUAUGAAUAAGGAUCGGCUAACUCCGUGCCAGCAGCCGCGGUAAUACGGAGGAUCCGAGCGUUAUCCGGAUUUAUUGGGUUUAAAGGGAGCGUAGGUGGAUUGUUAAGUCAGUUGUGAAAGUUUGCGGCUCAACCGUAAAAUUGCAGUUGAUACUGGCAGUCUUGAGUACAGUAGAGGUAGGCGGAAUGCGUGGUGUAGCGGUGAAAUGCUUAGAGAUCACGAAGAACUCCGAUUGCGAAGGCAGUUCACUGGACUGCAACUGACACUGAGGCUCGAAAGUGUGGGUAUCAAACAGGAUUAGAUACCCGAGUAGUC
rnacentral:rRNA from 1 species